rfam:Octopus bimaculoides Scaffold162186_contig_20, whole genome shotgun sequence.
UUUAUGAGUGAAAGGAAAAAUGGUUAGCACUCUUUUUGACAAGGAUAGAAAAAAUCACUUGGUCUUUCUAAGACAUAUGGGCAUUGCUUUCUACUUCAGAGCAACCUUCUUUU